CAGCAGUGAGGAAUAUUGGUCAAUGGAGGGAACUCUGAACCAGCCAUCCCGCGUGUAGGAAGACGGCCUUAUGGGUUGUAAACUACUUUUAUACAGGAAGAAACGUACCCUCGUGAGGGUGCCUGACGGUACUGUAGGAAUAAGCACCGGCUAACUCCGUGCCAGCAGCCGCGGUAAUACGGAGGGUGCGAGCGUUAUCCGGAUUUAUUGGGUUUAAAGGGUCCGUAGGCGGAUUAAUAAGUCAGUGGUGAAAUCCCAUCGCUUAACGAUGGAACUGCCAUUGAUACUGUUAGUCUUGAAUGAGGGUGCAGUGGUUGGAAUGUGUAGUGUAGCGGUGAAAUGCAUAGAUAUUACACAGAACACCGAUUGCGAAGGCAGAUCACUAACCCUAAAUUGACGCUGAGGGACGAAAGCGUGGGGAGCGAACAGGAUUAGAUACCCUGUAG
rnacentral:rRNA from 1 species